UACAGAGGUGCCGAGCGUUAGGCGGAAUCACUGGGCUUAAAGCGUGUGUAGGCGGGCGGGCAAGUACCUUGUGAAAUCCCACGGCUCAACCGUGGAACGGCUGGGUAUACUGCCUGUCUUGAGCCAACUAGGGGCGAGCGGAACAGACGGUGGAGCGGUGAAAUGCAUUGAGAUCGGAAAGAACACCAACGGCGAAAGCACUCUGCUGGGCCGACACUGACACUGAGAGACGAAAGCUAGGGGAGCAAAUGGG
rnacentral:rRNA from 1 species